GAUGAACGCUGGCGGCGUGCCUAAUACAUGCAAGUCGAGCGAACGGACGAGAAGCUUGCUUCUCUGAUGUUAGCGGCGGACGGGUGAGUAACACGUGGAUAACCUACCUAUAAGACUGGGAUAACUUCGGGAAACCGGAGCUAAUACCGGAUAAUAUUUUGAACCGCAUGGUUCAAAAGUGAAAGACGGUCUUGCUGUCACUUAUAGAUGGAUCCGCGCUGCAUUAGCUAGUUGGUAAGGUAACGGCUUACCAAGGCAACGAUGCAUAGCCGACCUGAGAGGGUGAUCGGCCACACUGGAACUGAGACACGGUCCAGACUCCUACGGGAGGCAGCAGUAGGGAAUCUUCCGCAAUGGGCGAAAGCCUGACGGAGCAACGCCGCGUGAGUGAUGAAGGUCUUCGGAUCGUAAAACUCUGUUAUUAGGGAAGAACAUAUGUGUAAGUAACUGUGCACAUCUUGACGGUACCUAAUCAGAAAGCCACGGCUAACUACGUGCCAGCAGCCGCGGUAAUACGUAGGUGGCAAGCGUUAUCCGGAAUUAUUGGGCGUAAAGCGCGCGUAGGCGGUUUUUUAAGUCUGAUGUGAAAGCCCACGGCUCAACCGUGGAGGGUCAUUGGAAACUGGAAAACUUGAGUGCAGAAGAGGAAAGUGGAAUUCCAUGUGUAGCGGUGAAAUGCGCAGAGAUAUGGAGGAACACCAGUGGCGAAGGCGACUUUCUGGUCUGUAACUGACGCUGAUGUGCGAAAGCGUGGGGAUCGAACAGGAUUAGAUACCCUGGUAGUCCACGCCGUAAACGAUGAGUGCUAAGUGUUAGGGGGUUUCCGCCCCUUAGUGCUGCAGCUAACGCAUUAAGCACUCCGCCUGGGAGUACGACCGCAAGGUUGAAACUCAAAGGAAUUGACGGGGACCCGCACAAGCGGUGGAGCAUGUGGUUUAAUUCGAAGCAACGCGAAGAACCUUACCAAAUCUUGACAUCCUUUGACAACUCUAGAGAUAGAGCCUUCCCCUUCGGGGGACAAAGUGACAGGUGGUGCAUGGUUGUCGUCAGCUCGUGUCGUGAGAUGUUGGGUUAAGUCCCGCAACGAGCGCAACCCUUAAGCUUAGUUGCCAUCAUUAAGUUGGGCACUCUAAGUUGACUGCCGGUGACAAACCGGAGGAAGGUGGGGAUGACGUCAAAUCAUCAUGCCCCUUAUGAUUUGGGCUACACACGUGCUACAAUGGACAAUACAAAGGGCAGCGAAACCGCGAGGUCAAGCAAAUCCCAUAAAGUUGUUCUCAGUUCGGAUUGUAGUCUGCAACUCGACUACAUGAAGCUGGAAUCGCUAGUAAUCGUAGAUCAGCAUGCUACGGUGAAUACGUUCCCGGGUCU
rnacentral:rRNA from 1 species